UUCCAGACAACCCGUGACUCGUGUUUUCACAAUCUUCUAACCUAAAAAGUGCCCUGGAACGGCAGUCAAACCCGUGACUUACUACUCGUGAACUUGUACCAGAUGGGUGUACUCCCAAUUAGUUUGUGA